CCUACGGGAGGCAGCAGUGAGGAAUAUUGGUCAAUGGGCGCGAGCCUGAACCAGCCAAGUAGCGUGAAGGAUGACUGCCCUACGGGUUGUAAACUUCUUUUAUAAAGGAAUACAGUGAGGCACGUGUGCCUUUUUGUAUGUACUUUAUGAAUAAGGAUCGGCUAACUCAGUGCCAGCAGCCGCGGUAAUACGGAGGAUACGAGCGUUAUCCGGAUUUAUUGGGUUUAAAGGGAGCGUAGAUGGGUUGUUAAGUCAGUUGUGAAAGUUUGCGGCUCAACCGUGAAAUUGCAAUUGAUACUGGCAGGCUUGAGUACAGUUGAGGUAGGCGGAAUUCGUGGUGUAGCGGUGAAAUGCUUAGAUAUCACGAAGAACUCCGAUUGCGAAGGCAGCUUACUAAACUGGCACUGACAUUGAUGCUCGAAAGUGUGGGUAGCAAACAGGAUUAGAUACCCUGGUAGUC
rnacentral:rRNA from 1 species